rnacentral:rRNA from 1 species
GACGAACGCUGGCGGCGUGCCUAAUACAUGCAAGUAGAACGCUGAAGAGAGGAGCUUGCUCUUCUUGGAUGAGUUGCGAACGGGUGAGUAACGCGUAGGUAACCUGCCUUGUAGCGGGGGAUAACUAUUGGAAACGAUAGCUAAUACCACAUAACAAUGGAUGACACAUGUCAUUUAUUUGAAAGGGGCAAUUGCUCCACUACAAGAUGGACCUGCGUUGUAUUAGCUAGUAGGUGAGGUAACGGCUCACCUAGGCGAGGAUACAUAGCCGACCUGAGAGGGUGAGCGGCCACACUGGGACGGAGACACGGCCCAGACUCCUACGGGAGGCAGCAGUAGGGAAUCUUCGGGAAUGGGAGCAACGCUGACCGAGCAACGCCGCGUGAGUGAAGAAGGUUUUCGGAUCGUAAAGCUCUGUUGUAAGUCAAGAACGAGUGUGAGAGUGGAAAGUUCACACUGUGACGGUAGCUUACCAGAAAGGGACGGCUAACUACGUG